rnacentral:rRNA from 1 species
AUUGAACGCUGGCGGCAGGCUUAACACAUGCAAGUCGAACGAGUGGCGGACGGGUGAGUAAUGCUUGGGAAUCUAGCUUAUGGAGGGGGAUAACUACUUGAAACUGUAGCUAAUCCCGCGUACCAUAGGAUGAGCCCAAGUGGGAUUAGGUAGUUUGUGAGGUCAAGGCUCACCAAGCCGACGAUCUCUAGCUGUUCUGAGAGGAUGACCAGCCACACGGGGACUGAGACACGGUCCAGACUCCUACGGGAGGCAGCAGUGGGGAAUAUUGCGCAAUGGGCGCAAGCUGAUGCAGCCAUGCCGCGUGAAUGAAGAAGGCCUUCGGGUUGUAAAGUUCUUUCGGUCGCGAGGCGUUAACUACAGAAGAAGCACCGGCUAACUCCGUGCCAGCAGCCGCGGUAAUUC